AUGAUGCCUACAACAUAUCUAUCUCAUGCCCUCCAUGAUAUGGAUGACACAAAAAAAGGGGGAAAACAGGUCCACUACUUCUUGGCUUUUGGAUGGCAAGUUAGGCCACAUGCUACUUUUGGUAUUUUUGUGAAGGGGCCAUAUACUAUAAAGUCCAAGGAUGACUUGCCGGUGGCAUUAUCUCAUGUUCAUGUGAUUUUCAUUCACUCGUUGCACCGGCAAGUUGUGUUCGGCUAUGUUACUAACUCAUCUUCUCAUGAGAGGAUAGCAUGA